rnacentral:lncRNA from 1 species
ACAAGAGCAAUUGAAAUCACAAAAACACAGGAACAUGAAAUAACAGUUCACAGAAUCUAGUGAAAUGCAGCAAUGUUAUCAAAAAGCCUUGAAAUAUGAAAGACGAUUAAAUUUGCAAUGAGAUUCAUUAUGGUUCCUGGGCUGCCCACAGCACAAGACCCAAAUGCAGCUUUGCAUCAUUACACUGCCAGCAAGUCUCAGUUGUGCAAACCGUAAAUGAAAUGUGCUAUGCUUCCUUGAAAUCCACAAAAGCACCUUAUUUCUUGCAUAAGCUACCACACACUUGCAGAUGUGCAAAAACAAUCUCAAAGCAUCAAAGAAGCCAAAUGAGUCCACUCAUAACAACAACCCAUACACAAUGGAUGCUUACAGGUGAACAACAUAAAAGGAAACAUUAGUAUAGCUUUCUGAAGUAUAAUAAACUUUGGGUCUCUACAACAAAUGAGAAAAUCUGGGAUGUCACAAAUGCAUAUCAAAGUAUGCAAGGCACUAAUCCUUUAACUUUUUAAAGGGGAAGUCACCUAUAAUUCCUGAUCACAAUUCCUGAAAAUGUGCGAUACAUUCUUAGUGUGAGCCACUUUUCAGUAAGCAAAACAGUUUAGAGAAGCCAAAUGUGAGAGUAAAAUAGUGUUGAUAAUGUGGUUGUAAAAUAAGCAAGACACCUUGCUACACAACCUUAAGCCACGUUUUACAUGUUAGUGGCAAAGCCUUUGCACACCUUGCAAUGUCCAUGUACUUAUGUUGAAGCAGUUGCUGUUAACUGCACUAAAUGUGACAGAGUGAAAGUCAAAGCCACAAUGUGAAUAUCUAUUAAAUAAAGGACCACACUUGGGCAAAUUCGUGAGUGACAGCUUGUGUAAUGCUCAAAGGAAGAAAAUGCAAUCAGAACCUUGACAUUCCUAGUUAUUUGGCUGGAGUCCACAUGUCACAAGAAACAUCGGUAGUACAUUACAAUGGGUGUGGAAACAGCCUUGGUAUGCUCAAUUUGAAAGAAGCACUAGAGAUUCCUACUCCACAGGUGGGUGUUGCCUUAAGAAAACAAAAAUGCUAAAAUGCACACCAGUGCAGACAAAGCCACUAAAUGCCAUAUAGUAUAUACAAACAAGUCAAUGUACGGUCACGCUUUACAAGCUAUCUGAAUGAUAACAUCU